AAACCAGCACCUCAAGUGGUCAGGAGGUUUAUUGGGCCUAAAGCAUCCGUAGCCUGAUCUGUAAGUUUUCGGUUAAAUCCACUAGCUCAACUAGUGGGCUGCCGAAAAUACUGUAGAACUAGGGAGUGGGAGAGGUAGACGGUAUUCGGUAGGAAGGGGUAAAAUCCUUUGAUCUAUUGAGGACCACCUGUGGCGAAGGCGGUCUACCAGAACACGUUCGACGGUGAGGGAUGAAAGCUGGGGGAGCAAACCGGAUUAGAAACCCGGGUAGUCC
rnacentral:rRNA from 1 species